AUAUUUACACAAAUUUUUUAAAAAAAACCGAUUUACAUUAGUGUACUGUGUGGCGGGUUGAAUGAGGAAAGUAAUUAACUUUCCUUGUUUUUGCUCGCACGUGUCAAUGUUAUUUACAGUAUUUGGUUUCUCUCUCUUCCUAAUUUUACUUCUCUCUCCUUUGCUCAUUCUCUCUUCCGCCAUAUUUUUUGCUCCCGUUUCCGCCAUUGUUACAAGCUUGUAGCUUUCUUCCAUCGAUUUCUAGGGGAUUUGGUUGAAGAGAAAUGUUGGACACUUUGGGAGAAGAUCAAUGAAAACCUUUGUGUUGCAAGACCUGUCUUAACAAUUGCUAUGGAUGCGGGCCUUAGUAAGGCUAUUCUUGAGAUUGGUAACAUUUAACUUUUUUCUUAUUUGAAGCAUGUGAAACAGGAAGUUAUUAUCAGUGAUUUUGUUAAGCUUACUAGUCUUAACAAUCUUAUCUCUUUCUCUCAUGUAAGUAGAUGUGGUAAUGUUGCUGGUCAUAAACUUGCCCAAGCUAGUGGAGAUGAGAGUAUGGGUUGAGGAGGCUCCACGUUGUGUAAUGGCUGUUGUGAUGCUUGAUUCUGCUAUCAUCCCUUAAUAAAUUUUGCUACUGUAACUUUCAAAUUUCAUCCUUCUUUUUUUAUAACACUUAUUCAAUGGUUUUAGGGAUCUCGAGGCCUCAAGAACUUUUAGAGCAAGUAAACUGAUAUUAUAAUAGUCAAUAUGCAACUAUGAUAAGAGCUUGAGUCAUUUAUAGAUGAUGAUUUGGAUUGGCACAAUGUACUUUUGAUGACACCAGAGUUAUUGAUGAAUUGAAGUUUCUCUCUAUCCUUCUUUUAA